rnacentral:lncRNA from 1 species
UACAUACUACAGAUGUACAUGGACACAAAGCAACAGUCAACAGGCAGGACUUCACUGCUAACUGUGCAUAAUGGCAUAUAGAAAGACAACUCAGAUUACAACAGGCUCAUGUUCAUUAGGACACUGUUGCAAAACGGAAAACAAAAUGAGCGUUUCUUAUUGGGGUAGUCCCUCCCUGUUUGUUAGUUUUCUUCCGUUUGGUGUCUGAUGAAUACGACCGAAGUUUGGGUGGGACACCUGCAAAUUCCGUGGCUCUGUUCUUUGGACCUUUGAAUUUCUACAACCUUUGUUCUAAAAAUCCCAUUAAAUUCUAACAAACAAAAUCUUAAACAAAAAUGAUUACAAAAUCCAGAAAGGGUUAGUAAUCUAGAAUUCAAAUCAAAUUCACUUUUAAUAUACAUGACAUUUUGGCAACAGACAAAAAUAAACCCGUUGCAGUUGUAUGCCAAGGAAAACAUUGCUUAUUGCAAACUUGAGACAAUGCUUUUUGGAGUCCUUGUUCUUUAACCAGAUGCAAGCUUCCCAACACAUGCACCCAUCAGUCUCUUGUCUUCAGCUACACAGCACCUUUAAAAGUGACCCAUAGAGGGCACUGUCACAGGAGAACACACAGUUACAGUAUGAGGAGGCCAGUUAGUUGUCACAUGCACCCACCAGUGGAGGCUGCUGAGGGGAGGACAGCACAUAAUAAUGGCAGGAAUGGAGUGAAGGGAAUGGUAUCAAACACAUGGUUUCCAUUCACUAGAUUAUACUCCAUUCCAUACAUUAUGAGCCGUCGUCCCCUCAGCAGCCUUCACACUGACACCCACAUCAUGUGACAUGGUCUUCAGUGAACAUGUGAAUAUGCAUUCCCCACGUCCACAUGUGCUGCGUCUGCUCCUCUAUACAGCUGGGAUCUGGCACACAUCAAUCAUUCAAAAGGGGGUUUAUAACCUAAAUGUACUAACAAAGUCCUGAUGGAGAAUCUAAACAUCAGUCACAUCUCCCCCACAACGUAAUGGACCGGCCCAUCUCCCCAUCCACAACACAAGGAUUAGCCUACAGGUCAGAAGGGGCUAUGGGGAUGGGAUAUAAAGCUCCUAAAACACUGACAAGAAGCAGUAUAAACAAAAUGGGUCUUUUGCAGCAACAGUCAGUCCAGCAUUCCGUCUUUGGGAGUUUACUGCCAUGAGUUUAGGGAGUCUAAAAGAAUGUUUACAUUGCAGAAGGAGGGAGAGAGAGAAACAAACAUCCAUGCUGUAAAAGUAUAUGUCGUCUUUGGACAGAGAAAGCCAGACAUUGUGUGUUGUUGUAAACCAAGCUCUGGUGUGUUUUCGAUACUCUGUUUUAUAUGCAAACCAUUCUCAACCACUCCCCUUGAAUCUAAAGACAAAAAGCCAACGAAGGUUCGACACAGGUCUUCAAGAGUAUAUAAACAUUCACAGGAUUUCCAGAACGGGUAAUAUUUCACAGUGGUUGUAACCUCGUCUCCUUCCAGACCUUGUUUAGAACUAUGAUGCUGCGAUAACAUUAAAGCCAUAUAAAAUCAACAUGUAGGCAAUCUUGUAACAUCUCAUAACAUCUUUUGGGAGGUGCAGCCUAGUCCUUGACAAAAGUGUAUCCAGUUCAUUUGUUGUUGCCAAGUGCACCAAAUAAACAAAAUAAACAUCU